AGCGAACGCUGGCGGCAGGCCUAACACAUGCAAGUCGAACGAACCUUUCGGGGUUAGUGGCGGACGGGUGAGUAACACGUGGGAACGUGCCUUUAGGUUCGGAAUAACUCAGGGAAACUAGUGCUAAUACCGAAUGUGCCCUUCGGGGGAAAGAUUUAUCGCCUUUAGAGCGGCCCGCGUCUGAUUAGCUAGUUGGUUGAGGUAAUGGCUCACCAAGGCGACGAUCAGUAGCUGGUCUGAGAGGAUGAUCAGCCACAUUGGGACUGAGACACGGCCCAAACUCCUACGGGAGGCAGCAGUGGGGAAUCUUGCGCAAUGGGCGAAAGCCUGACGCAGCCAUGCCGCGUGAAUUAUGAAGGUCUUAGUAUUGUAAAAUUCUUUCACCGGGGACGAUAAUGACGUUACCCGGAGAAGAAGCCCCGGCUAACUUCGUG
rnacentral:rRNA from 1 species